AUUGAACGCUGGCGGCAGGCCUAACACAUGCAAGUCGAACGAGUGGCGGACGGGUGAGUAAUGUCUGGGAAACUGCCUGAUGGAGGGGGAUAACGACUGGAAACGGUAGCUAAUACCGCAUACCAUCAGAUGUGCCCAGAUGGGAGUAGCUAGUAGGUGGGGUAAUGGCUCACCUGGGCGACGAUCCCUAGAUGGUCUGAGAGGAUGACCAGCCACACUGGACCUGCGACACGGUCAAGACUCGUACGGGAGGCAGCAGUGGGGAAUAUUGCACAAUGGGCGCAAGCCUGAUGCAGCCAUGCCGCGUGUGUGAAGAAGGCCUUCGGGUUGUAAAGCACUUUCAGCGGGGAGGCGUUACCCGCAGAAGAAGCACCGGCUAACUCCGUGCCAGCAGCCGCGGUAAUAC
rnacentral:rRNA from 1 species